CCUCCAGUGGCCCAUCCAACUUUGCCUCUCAAAGCACUGGAAUUACAGGCAUGAGCCACCAUGCUAUUUCCAUUGUAUAGUCUUGUAAUGCAUCUUCUGGUAAUUCUUGUGUCUUCUAGAAAUAGAUAAAUUGUAUCUCUAUGGAGUCAAAAAGCUUCUAGCUCUUGUGUUCUGGCAGCAUGAAGAAUCUGAGAACAGUGAAGAAAAACUCAGGGGACAGGCAAUAUUGAUUGUGUGCAACUGUAGCUUAACACAGCACAAACAAGCCUUUCGUAUCCUCAUCUGCUUUGGGAUGCCAUGCCCUUUUACUUAGGUGAACUGCCUUUAAUAGUUGCUUGCUGCCUGCGUUGCAUUCUCUGAUACCAGAAAAGGAAGUAUGUGACAAAAUCAUGAAGUACAGACUAAGAAACUGUAUGGGGCAACUGAUUAGAAUAGCAUUCUCACUGGUGUUCCUCUUAAGAUUCCACGGCUUGGUGUCAAACCAAAUGUGUAGACACUUUCUGGAAUGUAUUAUACUAAAGUAUGUAACAGUUGGCAUUCUGAAAACAAAGAGUUUCUUACAAUACUAAGGAGCCAAUGUCCUGUAUUUUUGUCUUGAAGAAAAAAAUCUGUUUCAACAGAUUCUCCCUAAUUCGUUCUCCUUAUUUCUAAUUUUAUACUCUGGCUAUGGAAGUAAAGAACUAUUUCCAUCAACAAAGCAAGUUCCAGACAAAAGUUCUUUAAGAAACUUGCCAAAAAAAAACAGCUCAUGCUGUCUUUCCUGGGAUUCCUCGACAUAUGAAUGCUCCAGCCAGACCCAGAAACGCAGCUUUGUUUUACUACCAUUCGAUAAUGAUCUAAGCAGCAAAAUCAGGUAUGUGGCCCUAAAGCCAGCACUGCUCCCCAGCAAGCCUUUCCAACAGCGCAGAUUUCAUUACUGUCAGAGUCACACAGGCUGCUUCUGUUCUUGGUAUAUCUCUCUGUUGUUAAUUUAUUCUUUGUAUCUUUCAAAUUACUGGUUAUUUUUAAAAUAGACUAAUGUAAAACCUAGCAUAUGUUUACUAGAGGGGAAAACACACUCAUUUUCCAUUUAGUUGACAUUUACUGAGCACCUUCUAUGGUCCUGGUACCCAAUACCCAUGCCUGGGAUAGGAAACAGUCCUCGCAUUCUUGGAAAUUACGACAGAAAUGCAUUACCUGGGUAUGCUGGAGGAUGACUUCCAGUUAAGACAAAAAGGAACUUAUUUGCAGGAUCAUAGGGAGACACAGAGUCAAUCAGAGGCUAAAGAAAGAGACCAGGUAACUGGUACCCCAGGGAAGAUCAUGUGGCAGAGGAAUUACCUCUCCCACAUGCUAGCUUCAAUUGAUUAAGAUUAAAACAGGAGAGCUUAAAUCAGAGGUCAUCCUAUAGCACCAGAAGGUAGACUCCUAUUUAGCAUAAGGAAUACAUUCUUCAGAAGAGGUAAUUUCCCCCGUUGUAGAAACAAUUCAAAUCACAUGAAGACAUGCAAGGUAUAAUUUGUGGAUCUCCUGUUCAAUCCCACAACAUAGUAAUAAAGGAGUAUAGACUGGGAAAUCCUUCCAGAGUCCUUGAAAUUUAGUUUUUAUUUUAAGUGUUUAACGUUGAUGUUUUUCCCCUUGUCUUUUCAACACAAUUCAGCAAGCUGCCAUGUUAACUUUUACACAAAACUCCUCAUUGGAUAUGAGAAUUUACAUUAAGCUGUGAGCAAUUAAAGUCUGAUGUCUUUUUCCAGAUCUCCAUUUAAAAUGUAAAUUAAAGGGCAGAGGGAAAAAUAACUUCCCUUAUGUCACUUAAAUUAUCCCUUAAGAUUACAGGAAACUAUUCAUUUUUUCAAACUAGGAGGAACCAAAAACGUAUUUCCCCUUCCCACUCUUCACAACAGAAAAUGCUGAUGCAAUGAGAUGCUCUUCUUAAUAAUAGAACUUUCUGGCUGACUUAAAGGCUAAAAUUGACAUUUUAAACCAUACAUGUCCUUGUUUUUGUUAAGUGGAUUUCACUCAAUUUAGCCACAGUCAUCCCCAAACCUUAACAGUCUCCACCCUUCUCCCAAGUCAAAUCCCACUGCUGUUGUUAAGUUUUGUGUGGCCACACACAACCAAUCCUAAUAGCUAACAUUUUAACACUAGCUUACUAUGAUGGUGGCCUUUAAGUAUUUCACAUAUAUUAACUGAUUGAAUCCUUGCAAAGAAUUCCAGGGUUGGUCCUGUUACAAUCUUCAUUUUUUCAGAUGAAGAAACCAAGUCACAGUCCAGUGUCGCUCUCUUAGCUGUUAUCUGGGCUUGUGAAGACUUGAUAUACGAGGCUCUGGAUAAAAUCCUACAUAAAUGCAGGGAAACAGAUGUGUAUAAACACAAAUCACUAAUACCUUGAUCUUCUAGUUCUGUGGUAAAGGAACAGGUUACCUAGUCCUCAAAUUUUUCUACCUAUAUAUUUAAAUGGGAAUAAUGCUAUCUGCUUCAUGAGAUAUUGUGAAAUAGACCAAUCUUCUCAAACUCUUCUGAACUCAAACUCUUCUAAACUUACUCUUCUAAACUCUUCUCAAACUCUUAUAGAUACAGAAGUUUAUCCACAAGAUAAACUUCUUCCUAAGGUUUCUAUUUUUAAGAAGUAAGAAUUUUUAAAAAUAGUUUUUCUAUAUACUGACAAGGUAUUGUAAGGUAUAUGAGUUAAGGAUAUCCCUUCCCAUGAUUUCCAAUCCUAUACUGUUCCAACCUGGGCAACAUGGUGAAACCCUGUCUCUAUGAAAAAAAAAAAUAAGACAAAAAUCAGCUAGGCAAGAUGGAGCAAGCCUUAGUACCAGCUACUUGGGAGGAUGAGGUGGGAGGAUGGCUUGAGCUAGGAAAGCAGGAGUUGCAGUUAAGCCAAGAUCACGCCACUGCACUCCAGUCUGGGCAACACAGUCAGACCGCCUCAAAAAAAAGGAAAAAAUAAAAAAACACUUCCCCCUAGUAAACAUUUUGCUUUGUUUCACUACUAGCUACUCAGCACAGGCCUCUACCAAACAACCUGAAACAAAGUAGCCUAAAAGUAUUAUACCAUAACAACCUCUCAGACAACAUUUUCAUGGGAAGUGAUCCAAACAGGCUUAGAGGGUUAUGGUGGGAUGAAAAAAAAAAAAUUAUGGCAUUUGUAUCCAUAUAGUUUAGAAUGAGAUCUGGGUUCUCAAAAUUCUAUGAAAUCAUGAAAAGGAAGAAAACUGUUUGGAUGCUAAACUUAAGAUGCAACAUCAGCUCUUCAUUUCAGCCCAACUUCCCCCAAAUUGAUGGUCGCAAGGCACGGGCAGCUUGCUCCUUCGCUGGCAGUGUAGGACACUUGUUUCCUAAUCAAAUGUAACUUUUAAAAUGUUUAUUUCUUUAAAAAAUGAAUAUGGUAUGUAGUAAAAACUCAAGAAACUUUACAAAUGUCUUUCUGCACAAGUAUCAUUUCCCCUAAUCUUCAAUCAAUAAUAUUGUUUACAAAUAAAAAUACCCAGGCAAAACCACACUGGAACUCAGCUCUCCUAACACUUGGUCCAGGCAUUGGUCUACAGGUUUAGUUUUACUACCUAAUACUGAAAUAAAAAAUGAGCCAUUACUUUAUAAUUAUGUAAGGCUAAGAAUUAGUCAUUUUUUCUACAUUCUACCUUAAAAAAAAUUAUGCAAACUGAUAGUUACUUAGUAUCUUUAACAUACUUAAAAUUGUAAACAAUGUAAAAACACAGAAACAUUAAGUAUCUAUUUCUCUUUAAUUAAAUGUAUCUCCUACUUAAAUGGGAUGUGUGGAGGAAGAUUUCUUCUUCCAGAUAAUCAAUACUUCAUCUUUGUUUAGUGCCUUUAAAAAAUAAAUAUCGCAUUACUUUUUAAAUGGUUUUAUUUUACAUACAAAUAAUGAACAUACGUUGUACCCAUAAAUUCUACCUUCCAAAAUCAGCAGCUUUUUAAAAGAAAACCACAUAAUAACUUUUAAAAGGCGCUGGGAUUCCUCUGCUUCUAGAUCACUGCUGGGCUAGAAAAAUAAAGUUUGUUCUACCAGGAAUCACAAGUGAGAACUGAAUAUUCUCCAAAGUGGAAAUUCUGGAGUGUAGUGUCACUCCAGGCAAAGAUUAUUCAGUUCUCAUCCCCAACAUCCACAACUACCUAUCAGAAAGGUUAAACCAGGUCAAAACAGUCCAGCAUAAUUUAGGUUUCAUCAAACAAUGUCAUUAUGCUCUUCUAAGAUGCAAAUAAACCAAAACAGGAAAUACU